AUACUGUAAACCAACUUAUUUUCGCGGAUACUUUAUUUCGCGUUUUACCCUUUCUAUACCAUUUUGCGGUUGUUUAUAUUCGCGAUUUUCUGUCUUACUUGAUGAAAUUCAAUAAGGAAUGAUCCAAGUUUUACAUAUUCGCGACAAUUUAUAUUCGCGUUAUUUUGCUACUCGCGAAAGUCGCGAAAAUAAAUAGCUCGCGAAAAUAAGUUGGUUUACAGUA
rnacentral:lncRNA from 1 species